AGUUCAGGGAGGAGCACCUGGCCCGAGCCCCAGACCAGCGCGCAGAAUUGAGGCCAGGCCAAGGACCUGAGCCCUAGGACCAUGCCUCAUGACUACCCG